rnacentral:rRNA from 1 species
GAUGAACGCUAGCGGCAGGCUUAAUACAUGCAAGUCGAGGGGUAGCAAGAUUGUAGCAAUACAAUUGUUGACGACCGGCAAACGGGUGCGGAACACGUACACAACCUUCCUACAAGUGGGGAAUAGCCCAGAGAAAUUUGGAUUAAUACCCCGUAACAUAGCGAUGUGGCAUCACAUUGCUAUUAUAGCUUCGGCGCUUGUUGAUGGGUGUGCGGCUGAUUAGAUAGUUGGCGGGGUAACGGCCCACCAAGUCUACGAUCAGUAGCUGAUGUGAGAGCAUGAUCAGCCACACGGGAACGGAGACACGGGCACGACUCCUACGGGAGGCAGCAGUAAGGAAUAUUGGACAAUGGACGCAAGUUUGAUCCAGCCAUGCCGCGUGAAGGAUUAAGGUCCUCUGGAUUGUAAACUUCUUUUAUAAGGAACGAAAAAAGGUCUUUCUAGAUCGUCUGACGGUACCUUAUGAAUAAGCACCGGCUAACUCCGUGCCAGCCGCCGCCGUAAUAC